rnacentral:lncRNA from 1 species
AGAAAAUGAUCUCCCGCUUCUCGCUCUAUUUACUUCACAAAUCGGAGCGGAUUCGAGACGGGUUAUAUUUUUUCUAUUUUUUUUUCUCGCUUAUCACUCCAUUCGGAACGAAUCGGGACGGGAACUCCACCAACCCGGAUCCAUUUGCAUCUCUGACAUCAUGUUCAUCAUGUAUAUCAUCGAUAUUUUUUAGGUAACAAGCAAAUUUUCUUUCAUUAUUUUUCUCCAAAUAAAAGUAAAAAUAAAAAAAAAACUUAAAAAUAAAAAAAAACCCCCUCAACUGAUACUAAACAUUAGGGGUGGAAACGAGCCGAGCUCAAGCGAGCUUAUGUCAGCUCAAAUUCGGCUUGAAAUUAAUUUCGAGCCUAAAUCUAGGCUCAAGCUCGGCUUGAAAUUAAUUCGAGCCGAACUCGAGCGAGCCUAAUUUCGAGUCGAGUCGAGCUCGAGCUCUAAACGAGCCGAUUGAAAUUCUCGACAUAAUAUAAUCAAUAGUUUAAUUUUUAUAGAACAUUACCUAUAAUUUGAUACAACAUGUUCAAUAAUUCAAAAUACAAAAUAAUUAUAAGAAAUGUGAGCUAGGGUGACUGCCUGACUGGGUGAGGGUCAGAGAGAGAGAGAGAGAGAGGAAAAAAAAUUAGGGAUUUGAGAAUUUGAAUAUUAUCAUGUUUUAGGGUUAUGUGCAACAGUGAAAGUCUGAAAGAGAGAGUGUGUUAUGUAAAUUUAGAGUUGGGCUCAAUUGCACGGUUGUAU